rnacentral:misc_RNA from 1 species
GAUGAAGAACGUAGCAAAAUGCGAUAAGUAAUGUGAAUUGCAGAAUUCAGUGAAUCAUCGAAUCUUUGAACGCACAUUGCGCCCGCCAGUAUUCUGGCGGGCAUGCCUGUUCGAGCGUCAUUUCAACCCUCAAGCACAGCUUGGUGUUGGGACUCGCGUUAAUUCGCGUUCCCCAAAUUGAUUGGCGGUCACGUCGAGCUUCCAUAGCGUAGUAGUAAAACCCUCGUUACUGGUAAUCGUCGCGGCCACGCCGUUAAACCCCAACUUCUGAAUGUUGACCUCGGAUCAGGUAGGAAUACCCGCUGAACUUAAGCAUAUCAAUCAGCGGAGGA